GUGCUGGCUUUGGCAGCACAUACACUAAAAUUGGAACAAUACUGAGAAGAUUAGCAUGGUCUCUGUGCAAUAAUGAUAGGCAAAUUCGUGAAGGGUUCCAUAUUUUG